CAGUAGCCGCGGUAAUACGUAGGUGGCAAGCGUUGUCCGGAAUUAUUGGGCGUAAAGGGCUCGCAGGCGGUUUCUUAAGUCUGAUGUGAAAGCCCCCGGCUCAACCGGGGAGGGUCAUUGGGAACUGGGAAACUUGAGUGCAGAAGAGGAGAGUGGAAUUCCACGUGUAGCGGUGAAAUGCGUAGAGAUGUGGAGGAACACCAGUGGCGAAGGCGACUCUCUGGUCUGUAACUGACGCUGAGGAGCGAAAGCGUGGGGAGCGAACAGGAUUAGAUACCCCUGUAGUCCCUGUCUCUUAUAC
rnacentral:rRNA from 1 species